UAAAAAGGAAUAAAGCUUCACAUUGAACCAAUGAGGCCUUUUCAUUUGUUUGUGAAUCUGGGCCCAAAGCUUCUAGCCUUUUUAAAGCAAAAAAAAGGUGAAAAACUAUGCUCCUAGUGAGAAUCAAACUCGGCCAUUCUCGGCAGAACUUGAACCCCUUAUCCAUUCUGUCAUUCUUCUCUUUAGUAUUGAGGGGGUUCAUUUUGAUUAAUAUACUCAUAAAACCAGAAUUUGACGUUACGUAUAUAGUGUAAUAUUUCGACGAAGGGGGUUCGGAUGAACCCCUAGAUUGCACGUAGAUCCGCCCCUGGUUAUAUGUUACCUCAGUGUUCCACAACGCUCAGUAGAUAGCAAAUUUUUUUUGUCACUGAUAGCAGGGAUCGAUCAUAUGUUAGCUCAAUGUUUCACAUUUACAUGUAAGUUAUUAUGUCAUUUCCUAUUCCGUUGAGGCAACUUUUGCUUUAACCACAUGAGAUUAGUUUAGCUUAGUCGAUAUUUACAUCAACUUACAUUUGAUGCUUGCUUCAUCUUAGUGUGGUUUCUUAGAAUUAUGAAAUGAAAAUCGUUCUUUGAUUUGAAAUUAAUGAAAAUUUUGCAGUGAAAAUUAAUUAAUUGUACCUAUUUAAUAAUUUUCUAAGAAUUACGACCAACUUACUUUAACGAGAAGAAAAGUCAUAUCCUUUUGUUUAAUAUGCAAGGAGUGAACAACUGAAGGUCCGUUGUAAUGAUUUUACAUGAGAAGACUAAUAAUAUCCAAUAGAGGGAUAAUUUUCACAACUUCACCGUAGAAAAGCUCCAAUUUAAUUAGAAAUUGAAAUGAUCUAAAUAGAAAACCUGAGUCAGAAGUAGUUUUGCCGUAAUGGGUGAAAAUUUUCAAAUUAUUGAUUUUUGCUACUCAUAAAAAAGGACACCGAUUGAUUCUUUCUACCGAGUUUGAUAAUUAAGUAGAGUUUCAAUUUUCAAGGCUAAAAUUAUAUGUUCAUUCAUUCUAAUGGAUCUCCAUUAUAUAAUUAAAACAAUUUAUUUUUGUCUUUUGAUAUAAGUAAAUACUUUUUUAAGUGGAAGCACAAAAGAGUUCAACAAAUGUGAAUAUAUUUGGUUAACUACAUCGUCAAAGGACAGUUUGUUGCGACCUGGAGCUGGUAUGGUGGGUUUUAUCUCUUGUUUUAGUACUGCAUUAGUGUUAGUUGUUGUUUCUUGGCAAAAAUUCUAAUUUUCUACAUCGGAUAAGAAUUAGAUCUGUUGGAUCUGAUUAUAAAUUUUUGGUACGCUAUCAAUAGUUACUUUUUCAAAUUUAUAUACUUACUGAUUUUAACGGUUUAUGUGAUUUGAUUUAAUUUGACACUAUUUCUUUUAUGGGUGUAGUGAACAGGAGUUGAAGCUUCUUAGUUGGAUCAAGAAUAUGGCUCAAAGUUUUGUGCCGAUAUUUACAGAGAUAUGUGAGAUUUAAUGUUUACUUGAUAACACCUUCCUAUGGUAGAAGAAAAAAUGUAAACGGUAUCUAUUUUUAAAUUGAGGGAGGAAAGUGCUUAACUUGAAGGAAGUGAAUGUCAUGACAGCCUAUGGAGCUGCUAAAAUCAACUUUCAGGAACGUGAAUGAAUCUGUAAAGAGUGCAAGUAUCUUUAAGAAGUAUAGUGCUACAACACAGAGUUGAAAAGCCUUUUGAAAGCAAGGAAGUGAGAUUCUUGCAGAGGUACUGAUAGAAACAAGACCUUUACAAAACCUUACAAUUAUUUAUCAGAUCUCUAGUGGGAGACAUCUAUAAAUUCACUCUUGUGCACCAUGUUCCGUUCAGAAUUAUUGAGGCA